UUCCGUGGUAAUGGCGGAGGGGGUACACCCGGUUCCAUUCCGAACCCGGAAGUUAAGCCUUCCAGCGCCGAUGGUACUGCACGGGCAACUGUGUGGGAGAGUAGGUCACCGCGGAAC
rnacentral:rRNA from 1 species